AGUGAACGCUGGCGGUAGGCCUAACACAUGCAAGUCGAACGGCAGCACAGUAAGAGCUUGCUCUUACGGGUGGCGAGUGGCGGACGGGUGAGGAAUACAUCGGAAUCUACUUUUUCGUGGGGGAUAACGUAGGGAAACUUACGCUAAUACCGCAUACGACCUACGGUUGAAAGCAGUGGAUCUUCGGACCUUGCGCGAUUGAAUGAGCCGAUGUCGGAUUAGCUAGUUGGCGGGGUAAAGGCCCACCAAGGCGACGAUCCGUAGCUGGUCUGAGAGGAUGAUCAGCCACACUGGAACGGAGACACGGUCCAGACUCCUAAGGGAGGCAGCAGUGGGGAAUAUUGGACAAUGGGCGCAAGCCUGAUCCAGCCAUACCGCGUGGGUGAAGAAGGCCUUCGGGUUGUAAAGACCUUUUGUUGGGAAAGAAAAGCAGCAGGUUAAUACCCCGCUGUUCUGACGGUACCCAAAGAAGAAGCACCGGCUAACUUCGUG
rnacentral:rRNA from 1 species